rnacentral:rRNA from 1 species
UACGGAGGGGGCUAGCGUUGUUCGGAAAUACUGGGCGUAAAGCGCACGUAGGCGGCGCAGCAAGUCAGGGGUGAAAUCCCGGGGCUCAACCCCGGAACUGCCUCUGAAACUGCAGGGCUAGAAUCUUGGAGAGGCGAGUGGAAUUCCGAGUGUAGAGGUGAAAUUCGUAGAUAUUCGGAAGAACACCAGUGGCGAAGGCGACUCGCUGGACAAGUAUUGACGCUGAGGUGCGAAAGCGUGGGGAGCAAACAGG